UUGUAUGUACGUAGUGGGGAAUUUUCCGAUGCUACCUAAUACAUAAAUUAACCCCAUUAAACCCUCCCAAUAACGACAGACAACUUAGUAUGGAUAAAACAGGCCACAGCAUUUAUUAUAACAUAAAUAAAUAAAUAAAUACUGCAUAACACAUAACUUUAUUUAUUCAAAAUCUUCUUUCUGUAACCAAAAUUGUUAAACAUAAAUAAGCAUAAAUUAACAUAUAUACAUAUAUAACAUCACACAGUGUUAUACAGUAACCCAACUGUCCUUGCCAAUAAACAUACCGUGGUUGCUAAUCACCACUUCCUCUCACCUCCCCCUCAUCAUAAAUCAUACCAAUCCAAUGCCCGCCAUCAGCCGACCUUAUCCACGCUCAAUGGGCACGAUACCUCAGGCAACCUAAAGUUAACCGUUUGAAGCAGGGGAGGUUGAGACUUGCCAACUUAUUAACUCACUCCAACCAUAAAACAUAAACCCACAAACUUAAUUGGCAAGGACAUACCCCCGGCUAGCUGCGACUAAC